GCAGUAAUGCCAACUCAUGUACCCCCUUUAGGGAUGCUUUUGUACUUUGAUGUGCACCAUUGCACUUUUAUUGUUAGCUAGGGAGAGAGUCCAGUGACUCAUGACACUGGCAGUAGCCAGGGCAUUCCCACUGUUUGUUGUUGAGGAAGAGACUUGUCCCUACAGAAGGAAGUUUAAUUUUGAAGUAAAGAAGACUUCUGCAAGGACUUCCCUUGAUGUACAAUUGUACUUAAGAUGUUGAAGCAAAAUGCGGAAUUAGUGUCUGACCGAGGCUGUUUUCCUUUGGUAAAUAAAAGAGUUCAAUGAAACCGCAGCCCUCGUGAGUCGUAUCAGUGUUGUGUGGUCGUCGGCGCGAACCCUUUCAUUAACUUACGAACAGCUUUAUGAUACA